rnacentral:rRNA from 1 species
UACGUAGGGAGCAAGCGUUGUCCGGAUUUAUUGGGCGUAAAGGGCUAGUAGGCGGUUAAGCAAGUCGGGUGUGAAAACUCUAGGCUCAACCUGGAGACGCCACCCGAUACUGCUUUGACUCGAGUCUGGUAGGGGAGCACGGAAUUCCUGGUGUAGCGGUGAAAUGCACAGAUAUCAGGAGGAACACCGGUGGCGAAGGCGGGUCUCUGGGCAGUAACUGACGCUGAGGAGCGAAAGCGUGGGGAGCGAACAGG